AGCGGCGGAUGGGUGAGUAACACGUGGGGAACCUGCCCCUAAGUCUGGGAUACCAUUUGGAAACAGGUGCUAAUACCGGAUAAUAAAGCAGAUCGCAUGAUCAGCUUUUGAAAGGCGGCGUAAGCUGUCGCUAAGGGAUGGCCCCGCGGUGCAUUAGCUAGUUGGUAAGGUAACGGCUUACCAAGGCGACGAUGCACAGCCGAGUUGAGAGACUGAUCGGCCACAUUGGGACUGAGACACGGCCCAAACUCCUACGGGAGGCAGCAGUAGGGAAUCUUCCACAAUGGACGCAAGUCUGAUGGAGCAACGCCGCGUGAGUGAAGAAGGUUUUCGGAUCGUAAAGCUCUGUUGUUGGUGAAGAAGGAUAGAGGUAGUAACUGGCCUUUAUUUGACGGUAAUCAACCAGAAAGUCACGGCUAACUACGUGCCAGCAGCCGCGGUAAUACGUAGGUGGCAAGCGUUGUCCGGAUUUAUUGGGCGUAAAGCGAGCGCAGGCGGAAAAAUAAGUCUAAUGUGAAAGCCCUCGGCUUAACCGAGGAACUGCAUCGGAAACUGUUUUUCUUGAGUGCAGAAGAGGAGAGUGGAACUCCAUGUGUAGCGGUGGAAUGCGUAGAUAUAUGGAAGAACACCAGUGGCGAAGACGGCUCUCUGGUCUGCAACUGACGCUGAGGCUCGAAAGCAUGGGUAGCGAACAGGAUUAGAUACCCUGGUAGUCCAUGCCGUAAACGAUG
rnacentral:rRNA from 1 species